rnacentral:rRNA from 1 species
UUUUGUUGGAGAGUUUGAUCCUGGCUCAGGACGAACGCUGGCGGCGUGCUUAACACAUGCAAGUCGAGCGGAAAGGCCCUUCGGGGUACUCGAGCGGCGAACGGGUGAGUAACACGUGAGCAACCUGCCCUAGGCUUUGGGAUAACCCUCGGAAACGGGGGCU